GAUGUGAGCUUCACGAGAUGGGGACUGUUCCAACUACCAUGGUUUUCUUGUGCUAGAACAAGGCUAGCACAGGGGGUCUUUUAAUGUGGCUAUUUCAUCAUGGAGUCCUAAAGAUUUAAAUUGAAGGUGAUACCCAACAUCGUGACUUUAUGCCACUUUAUAGUGAGUGUCAUUGGGACGUUGGCCGUUUUCAGCAGGACAUUAGACUGGUCCACUACACGGAAGACAUCACACUGGUGUGGUCCAUAGAGCACCUGCAUCAGAAUGACCGCAGCGCUUGUUAGAAAUGCAGAGUCCCAGGUUCCACGACUGUCCUAAUGAAUCCACAUCUUCAUGGGGAGAGCCCAGAGUUCUGCAUUUUAAUAAGAUGGCUGAGCAC